GGAGAGGUGUCCGAGUGGCUUAAGGUGACGGUCUCGAAAACCGUUGUACGGUAUUAGCCGUACCGUGGGUUCAAAUCCCACCCUCUCCGCCA
rnacentral:tRNA from 2 species